CUGCAUCUAUUUGACAGGACUGAAACAAUUACUGUUUGCUGCUAAGGUUUCCAAUAAAGAUGCAAGAAAAAAAUUCCCUGCAGUUCUGUUUGUCUGAUUGUGGCAGUCAAAAUCGAAUGGGGGAAUACAGGU